ACUAACCAGCUUCCCUUUCGAGAAACAGAGCCAAAGCUCCAAUCCGAUGGAAUUUAACCUGUCUCUCAGGAUCGGCUAACCCAUGUCCAAGUGAGAUGUCUCACUUGGACACGUCAGUAUCGCUACGAUCGUGAAGCGAGUGACGAUCGCUGAAGCGAGUGGAUAGCGAUUUAGCUAUCUUAACAGCAGGACGGUGGUCAUGGAAGUCGAAAUCCGCUAAGGAGUGUGUAACAACUCACCUGCCGAAUCGACUAGCCCCGAAAAUGGAUAGCGCUGAAGCGAGUGACCGAUACCGGGCCAUUGUUGCAAGAUAAUUGGCAACAAUGAGUAGGAGGGCGUGGGGGUUGUGAAGAAGCUUGGACGUGAGUCUGAGUGAAACAGCUUCCAGUGCAGAUCUUGGUGGUAGUAGCAAGUAUUCAAUAAGAGAACAUUGAAGGCCGAAGUGGGGAAGGGUUCCAUGUGAACAGCACUUGGACAUGGGUUAGCCGAUCCUGAGAGACAGGUUAAAUUCCAUCGGAUUGGAGCUUUGGCUCUGUUUCUCGAAAGGGAAGCUGGUUAGUAUUCCAGCGCCGAGACGUGGAUAAUAUGUGGCAACACAAGUGAACUCGGACACGCCAUAGGGGACCCCAGGAAGCGUUGUCUUUUCUUUUUAACAGUUCGACUUACCCUGGAAUCAGAUCAUCUGGAGAUAGGGUUUUCGAACUGGAAUAGCACCUUGUCUAACAGGGUGUCUGGAGUGUUCUCGCUGGCCCUUGAAAAUCCGAGGGAUAGAUUUAUUCGCACUAGGUUCCAUCCAUAAAUCUAUCUAAUAAACGCAGCCCUUCCUGGGUUAAUCCCUUC
rfam:Perkinsus marinus ATCC 50983 gcontig_1104296726566, whole genome shotgun sequence.